rnacentral:rRNA from 1 species
GGUGAGUAACACGUGAGCAACCUGCCCUGGACUCUGGGAUAAGCGCUGGAAACGGCGUCUAAUACUGGAUAUGAGCUCUCAUCGCAUGGUGGGGGUUGGAAAGAUUUUUCGGUCUGGGAUGGGCUCGCGGCCUAUCAGCUUGUUGGUGAGGUAAUGGCUCACCAAGGCGUCGACGGGUAGCCGGCCUGAGAGGGUGACCGGCCACACUGGGACUGAGACACGGCCCAGACUCCUACGGGAGGCAGCAGUGGGGAAUAUUGCACAAUGGGCGGAAGCCUGAUGCAGCAACGCCGCGUGAGGGAUGACGGCCUUCGGGUUGUAAACCUCUUUUAGCAGGGAAGAAGCGAGAGUGACGGUACCUGCAGAAAAAGCGCCGGCUAACUACGUGCCAGCAGCCGCGGUAAUACGUAGGGCGCAAGCGUUAUCCGGAAUUAUUGGGCGUAAAGAGCUCGUAGGCGGUUUGUCGCGUCUGCUGUGAAAUCCCGAGGCUCAACCUCGGGCCUGCAGUGGGUACGGGCAGACUAGAGUGCGGUAGGGGAGAUUGGAAUUCCUGGUGUAGCGGUGGAAUGCGCAGAUAUCAGGAGGAACACCGAUGGCGAAGGCAGAUCUCUGGGCCGUAACUGACGCUGAGGAGCGAAAGGGUGGGGAGCAAACAGGCUUAGAUACCCUGGUAGUCCACCCCGUAAACGUUGGGAACUAGUUGUGGGGACCAUUCCACGGUUUCCGUGACG